rnacentral:lncRNA from 1 species
AAAAAUGUUUUUACUAUAUCGUCAUUCAGUAAACAAGCAGUUCAACAAGUGCCUCUGCAGCUCUUGCAUUUUCUCAAACUGUGGGACAAAUUCAACACAACAGCAGGAAGGCUUCGACAUGUUGGCUCUGUCAGAGACGCCCGUCAGCUGAGCCUCCUCAAGCUCCCUCCGUCUUUUUUUAUCCUUUUCUCCAUCCUGCUCAGCGUGGGGUCUGUGCAUCCGUCAGGCGCUGUGCGGGAAACAGUGGGACUGGAGCUUUGUGAUUGUUGUAAUUUUCAUCUCACCCUCUCUCCCUCCCGCCCUCCCCUUCCCUCUUGUCCGCAGCCACCUGCCUUUUUUCCUCCAGCUGCUGAUGCUGCUCGCCUCUCAGGGGGGUCAGCGGGUUUCAUCGGCUCUUGCUGGAUCGCCAUGGCAACCGCAUACUUGACCAAUCGACUCGCUCAGCCCUUCGCCCCUGAGACCUGCGAGCAGUUUGGAUUAGAAAAUGGAGCUCUGCUAAACGGCACUCAGCAGCGUGUGAGGUUCUGGGCUGGAUGUCCAGUAGGGCAACACAAUGUGAAGACGUGGCUCACGACAGUGUGCAGGAAUUUGUCGGAGUGGCACUGCUGCAGGUUGUCUUGAAACCUCCAGUUACCUCACUUGAACCUGUUCCAGUCGUAGGAGUACUGAAAAUCUACGCUCCAGUUAAAGUACAAUCACUCCCAUUGAAAAGUGACUCAAGUUAAAGUGAGAAAUAUCAUUUGGGAAACCUGCUCAAGCAGAAAGUACAAGUUACUUUCAUAUCUGCAGUUUUAAUCACAUCCUGAAUAAUGUAAAUAUGGACUUUGUGUUCUUUGUUUUAUGGGAAAGAAAUUCAGUAUCAGGAUUUUAGCCUUUUAGAGACUUGAGGAGGCCAGCAGGGAAAGGGUUCAGAGCUAUCUAUUGCCGUCCCCAGAGCAACACUGCUAGUGUGGCUAAAAACACACAAGACA